rnacentral:rRNA from 1 species
ACGUAGGUGGCAAGCGUUACUCGGAAUCACUAGGCGUAAAGCGCAUGCAGGCGGAUGUUUAAGUCUGUCGUGAAAUUUCCCGGCUCAACCGGGAACGGUCGACAGAAACUGGAUGUCUUGAGUGGGACAGAGGAAGCUGGAAUUCCCGGUGUAGCGGUGAAAUGCAUAGAUAUCGGGAGGAACACCAGUGGCGAAAGCGGGCUUCUGGGUCUCUACUGACGCUGAGAUGCGAAAGCUAGGGGAGCAAACAG